UACGAAGGGGGCUAGCGUUGCUCGGAAUCACUGGGCGUAAAGCGCACGUAGGCGGACUCUUAAGUCGGGGGUGAAAUCCUGGAGCUCAACUCCAGAACUGCCUUCGAUACUGGGAGUCUUGAGUUCGGGAGAGGUGAGUGGAACUGCGAGUGUAGAGGUGAAAUUCGUAGAUAUUCGCAAGAACACCAGUGGCGAAGGCGGCUCACUGGCCCGAUACUGACGCUGAGGUGCGAAAGCGUGGGAGCAACGGGG
rnacentral:rRNA from 1 species